UACGUAGGGGGCAAGCGUUGUCCGGAAUCAUUGGGCGUAAAGCGCGCGUAGGCGGCCCGGUAAGUCCGCUGUAAAAGUCCAGGGCUCAACCCUGGAAAGCCGGUGGAUACUGUCGGGCUAGAGUCCGGAAGAGGCGAGUGGAAUUCCUGGUGUAGCGGUGAAAUGCGUAGAUAUCUGGAGGAACACCGGUGGCGAAGGCGGCAUCCUGGACCGACACUGACGCUGAGGAGCGAAAGCCAGGGGAGCAAACGGG
rnacentral:rRNA from 1 species